ensembl:lncRNA
GGGUUAAGCAUUAUCCCGAUAUAACAAGCUGCUAAUUAAUUAAAAUGUCUUUCAAUUCACAGUCAAAAGUCCAUGUGGCAUUUGCCAUUUCCAUUUGCAACGGUUAAUAGUGUAAUUCUUAAAAACCAAAAUGAUUUUGUGGAAAAAAUACUAAAUUAAUCAAUGUGUGUUGUUAAACUUUAUGGACAAUAUACCAUCUCUUAAGAAUAUAUUCUUAAACAUACCUUUAAUACUAUAUCGAAACAUGGAACAGAAUGAUAAUGAUUGAAAGAUAAUCAUUAACUAACUAAAAGUGAAAUAUUUUUUCUUUGAAAAUAGUUCUUCCCCAAAAAUAAUUGCACUGCGGUGCAUGCUGUUGCCUGUAACUGCCACGCAAGGGCGCUCUAUCACUUGCUAUGACCCGACGCUACAUGAGCACGCACUGUCUGCACAGCAAAACCGUCUCAAUAGCUUAAAAUUGAUAAUUCACGGUUAUUUUCAAACUUUUAAAUAUUGCACCCGUGAGCAAAAACACUGACGAUAUUUUUCAUCAUCAGUAUUCAUAUAGGCUACAUCUUAUGUUUUGAAUCAGAGCAGAGGGCCAGUCACUUGAUAAAGCAGUGCCAGGAUUCAGUCCUCCUCCCCGAGGUAUCCCCGCUGUGAACUUACAGCGUGUGUGUGUGUGUGUGUGUGUGUGUGUGUGUGUGUGUGUGUGUGUGUGUGUGUGUGUAAACUAAAACAAGCACCGGUCCAUUAGUUACAAUAUUCAUAAAUAUGACCAUGACCAUGGCCUACUGUCAUUUCUAACAAUAGCCGUAUAAUGGCACCUCUAUGCCUACACACAGCACACAUGACAGGAAAUCGAUAUUAUUAUCAAUUUAGUGGGACUCGUUGCAAAUGUUAUUGUCAUGAAUACUGAUGGAUCAUGAAUAAAGUUAAUUUGUUGGGCAUGUUUUGCUGAUCUGAGGUCGGUUAGGUCAUGCACACUGCACAAGGUGGUAAGAUGUGAAGGGUUGAUAGGGAGUAUAACUGAGAAACUCCAAAUAAUAUUAAAUGCGGCCUAUAUGAACUUAAAUCACUUUUAGACCUGUUCCGGUCCUUCCUUAUUUUGGUAAUUAUUUUGAUGAAAUUCUAUUCAAGCUAUUUUUUAUUGUGUAAUUCAAGGUAUGUUUAUCUUUGUAAAAACAAUAAAAAUAGGGGUUUGAGAGAGCUUUUCAACCCUUUUUAGUGAAAACUGGCUAAGGGGCAUUUUGAAGUAUAAUUUAAAGUGCAUGUGUUUUUAAAAUAGUUAUUUAUCUUUUAAAUCUUCAUCAAAAAAUUAUUGAAGGGCAAAAUAAUAUGUACCAACUCCACAAAGGAGCCCAGCUCAGACCCUGUCUGCAGAAACACACCUUCACAUUAACAUAGUGUCACAAUGCACUGGAGGUCAGCGCUCAUCAUACGUUCUGACAAUGUUGGACACACAGACACAAAGAUAGGUAGAUCUAUCCAUCCAUCUAUCAGUCAAACCAACUAUCUAUCUAUCUUUCUUUCGAUCCAUCUAUCGAAAUAUUGAUGGUUAGACAUACAAACAGAACAAUAGAUAGAUGAGCAGGGAGACAGACAGAUAAAUAUAUAUAAAUACAUAUAUAAAUACAUAUAUACAGACAAAGGUUCCUAUAUAUAUAGACGAAUAAAGCUAAUUAAAUAGAUGGAUAGAGAUAUAGAGAUAGAAAGAGAUACAGCAA